AUAAGUUAUGCCUAAAAUUGCUAACUAAAAAACUUCUGAUGUUGCUAGCAUUGAUUUCACCAGAGAGAUCGUCUGUUCUAUCGGACCUUGAUAUCCAGUUCCUGAAGAAACAGCCAGACGGCUUCACAUUUACACUAACUAAACCUCGGAAGACAGGGGACCCAAGAUCUCUCACAACAAUAGCAUUCCCAUGUUUUAAGGAAGACAGCACGCUAUGUCCCUUGAAAUGCUUGGAAUCAUAUUUAAAUGCUACAAGUGAGUUUCGGACUCUACCUGAAUGUAAGAAGUUGUUUCUCUCGACUCUACGUCCGCAUCGCCCUGUCUCCAAAAGUACAAUUGCCAGAUGGUUGUGUGACACAAUAACAGCUUCUGGUAUCGAUUCCACAAUAUUUAAGGCUCAUUCCACAAGAGCAGCCUCAACUUCAACUGCUGCUAAGAAACAGCUACCACUAAAUGACAUUCUUAAAAUGGGUGAUUGGACAUCCUCUUCGACUUUCCAACGGUUUUAUUACAAACCAACGAUUGACGACAGUUAUGCGAAAACAAUUCUAAAAUCCUAAAUUUUUCCAGAUAUAGACAAUUAUUGUUGAGUUUGGGUUUCCUCAUGUAAUUUUUAUG